AUUGAACGCUGGCGGCAUGCCUUACACAUGCAAGUCGAACGGUAACGCGGGGCAACCUGGCGACGAGUGGCGAACGGGUGAGUAAUGCAUCGGAACGUGCCCAGUAGUGGGGGAUAGCCCGGCGAAAGCCGGAUUAAUACCGCAUACGACCUACGGGUGAAAGGGGGGGAUCGCAAGACCUCUCGCUAUUGGAGCGGCCGAUGUCAGAUUAGGUAGUUGGUGGGGUAAAGGCCUACCAAGCCUACGAUCUGUAGCUGGUCUGAGAGGACGACCAGCAACACGGGGACUGAGACACGGCCCAGACUCCUACGGGAGGAAGCAGUGGGGAAUUUUGGACAAUGGGCGCAAGCCUGAUCCAGCCAUGCCGCGUGCGGGAAGAAGGCCUUCGGGUUGUAAACCGCUUUUGUCAGGGAAGAAAAGCUCCGGGCUAAUACCUCGGGGUCAUGACGGUACCUGAAGAAUAAGCACCGGCUAACUACGUGCCAGCCGCCGCCAUAA
rnacentral:rRNA from 1 species